GACGGAGGAUGCAAGCGUUAUCCGGAAUGAUUGGGCGUAAAGCGUCCGCAGGUGGCAGUUCAAGUCUGCUGUCAAAGACCGGGGCUUAACUUCGGAAAGGCAGUGGAAACUGAACAGCUAGAGUAUGGUAGGGGCAGAGGGAAUUCCCGGUGUAGCGGUGAAAUGCGUAGAUAUCGUAAGGAAGACCAGUGGCGAAGGCGAGUCUCUGGACAGUUACUGACGCUGAGGCACGAAGGCCAGGGGGAGCAAACGGG
rnacentral:rRNA from 1 species